UAAACGAAACCUAUGCAAUCAUAUAAAUUCCGAGCUGCUUAACCGAGAAGUUUAGUCUGAUUUUUACUUUUAAAAGUGCCACAAUCAAAUUUCAAAACAAAAACAAAAUGAAUUUCGGUUGGGUUUUAGCUAUUGUCUUUGCUUUGAUCGCCAUGGUUUCCGGUAGUUGCCCCGCAAAGUUCACAGAAAACGCAGAGAAACUGUGCGUUGCUGACCGUCCAAUUCAUGGCAGCUGUCCCGAAGGUUCACUCUACAAAGCCAAUAUUAACAAGUGUGUCUAUGCUGCCCGCGGUUAAACUGUUUAUACUUAAGGAAU